GGGAAACCCUGACGCAGCAACGCCGCGUGGGUGAUGAAGGCCUUCGGGUCGUAAAGCCCUGUCAGGUGGGAAGAAACUUGUGGAUGUUAAUACCAUCCGCACUUGACGGUACCACCGGAGGAAGCACCGGCUAACUCCGUGCCAGCAGCCGCGGUAAUACGGAGGGUGCAAGCGUUGUUCGGAAUUAUUGGGCGUAAAGCGCGUGUAGGUGGUCAGGUAAGUCAGAUGUGAAAGCCUUCUGCUUAACAGAAGAAGUGCAUUUGAAACUGCUUGGCUAGAGUACGGGAGAGGAGAGUGGAAUUCCCGGUGUAGAGGUGAAAUUCGUAGAUAUCGGGAGGAACACCAGUGGCGAAGGCGGCUCUCUGGUCCGAUACUGACGCUGAGACGCGAAAGCGUGGGGAGCAAACAGGAUUAGAUACCCUGGUAGUCCACGCCGUAAACGAUGGGCACUAGGUGUAGGAGGUAUUGACCCCUUCUGUGCCGAAGCUAACGCAUUAAGUGCCCCGCCUGGGGA
rnacentral:rRNA from 1 species